rnacentral:rRNA from 1 species
UACAGAGGGGGCAAGCGUUGUUCGGAAUUACUGGGCGUAAAGGGCGCGUAGGCGGCCUGCUAAGUCGAACGUGAAAUCCCCGGGCUCAACCCGGGAACUGCGUCCGAUACUGGCAGGCUUGAAUUCGGGAGAGGGAUGCGGAAUUCCAGGUGUAGCGGUGAAAUGCGCAGAUAUCAGGAGGAACACCGAUGGCGAAGGCAGGUCUCUGGGCCACUACUGACGCUGAGAAGCGAAAGCAUGGGGAGCGAACAGG